UGAGGAGUCAGUCAGGACUCAGGAGGACUUCACCUCAGUUCCGUUCUGACUGGGGAGCAGCAGUGAAGCCAGAGGUGUGUGAGUGCAUCGCUGUGCAUGGCACCUCUAGGACAGCAACAUAUUGCUACAGGUACCUCUAGGAUGGUAAGACAUUGCUACAAGUACCUUGGCUCACUCAGAAGACUCUGCAGACUGAAGACUCUACCAGAGCAGUGAAACAAAGGGGGUGGGGGCGACACCAAAGUGCACCUUCAGUGUGUUGACCCAAAUCCUUCAUCGGCCCGGAUUUCAUGAAGAUGAAGGAAAAGUAAGCAUAUAAAGGCAACAUGCAGUUCUCCAUUUAUUCCAUUUGUUUUGGUUGCUGCACAAGUAAGAAGCUUGUCAGGCAGAUUCCUUACCUUUGAUGCAGGUUGUUUCCAGUGAUGGUUUACACAGUCAUGGAAAUUAAAUCAUCACUUUGAUUCUAAGAAAAGAGAAGACAGAGGACAUUUUAGCAUAAAUCUGACUUGAUAUUCAUGCAAAUGACAUAAUAUCAGUGUUAAAAUAAUCAUUGAAGGUUUAAAUGUUAAAGAUAAACUAGAAAAA